CCUACGGGAUGCAGCAGUGGGGAAUUUUCCGCAAUGGGCGGAAGCCUGAUCCAGCCAUGCCGCGUGAGUGAAGAAGGCCUUAGGGUUGUAAGCUCUUUCACCGGUGAAGAUAAUGACGGUAACCGGAGAAGAAGCCCCGGCUAACUCCGUGCCAGCAGCCGCGGUAAGACGGGGGGGGCAAGUGUUCUUCGGAAUGACUGGGCGUAAAGGGCACGUAGGCGGUGAAUCGGGUAGAAAGUGAAAGUCGCCAAAAACUGGCGGAAGACUCUCGAAACCAAUUCACUUGAGUGAGACAGAGGAGAGUGGAAUUUCGUGUGUAGGGGUGAAAUCCGGAGAUCUACGAAGGAACGCCAAAAGCGAAGGCAGCUCUCUGGGUCCCUACCGACGCUGGAGUGCGAAAGCAUGGGGAGCGAACGGGAUUAGAUACCCUGGUAGUC
rnacentral:rRNA from 1 species